AGCCUCGGCUUGGUUCUCCCCAAAGCCACCUCAGACCCAGGUAGUGCAUUUGGGACGUGGGAGGCAUCUUCACAGCUGCUGAGCACUAGGUAGAAACUCGCUCCUCCAGCAGAUAUUUGUCGGGCACCCGCUAUGGUUUCAGCCUCUAGGACCGCUCUGUGGACAAGGCAUCUGGUCCUGCUCACAGGGACCUCCCUGUCUCUCAGGAGAGACACUGGACAAUGCCCAGCAGGCGCCACGAAUCACUAGACAGGCAGAGUACGUCAAAGCUGUGUCCCCCCGACCCCCGUGUUAGAGGCUGCAGCAGGGUGAGAGGGAAAGAGAAAAGAGGCCGUAGGAAGCCGGAUAAGGACGGGGCUGGCAGGCCAGAGCACACAGCCCAAACACUGCAUUUCAAAAGCCUCUUGAGCCUACAGAGGUACAGAAUCACACGCCCAUCCCGAACAACAGAAAACCAGACAAAACCCAGGGAACAAAUAAUUUCCCACAUUCAGACGCGGGCGGCACAGGCCUGUGCUUCUGGGCACUGGAGUCUGAGGCAUUCUGUUAUAGCAACAGAACACAGUCUCGGACUCAAGGAGAGAAAAGUUACUGAAGAUCGCAGACAGGACCAAGACUUGCCGGAGUUUCCUCUAAUGAGGGACCAUCCUCUCACUGAACAGUAUCAUUAACUGGGAACCACAGAAGCACCACGCCUUGCAGGAGAAGAGCCGGAAGUCACACAGGGCCAGAUCCACUGAAUAAGGUGGAUGAGGACGCAGUCAUUUAAAAGGAGCCUGCACCUCCGUUAGCUGACACUGCUGCGUUCACCGGAUUUUUGAUCAUGCAUAAUAAAGACACUCAGGAAAGGAAACUUCCAGAACUGCUUCAGAAAGUGGCCAGAACAAUGGGGUAACUGUGUUUACAGCAAGGUGUAUUAAUGGCAAUGUGUCGUUACUCGAAUGUAUCUUUUAAAUGUACACAUUCACCACAUAUUUCUAUCACACCUCAUAUACAGUAGUAGAAAAUGUGACUCAUUGACAGGAGAAAAUUCAGUCAAAAGGAACACACCACUAAGUGACAGAGAGGAUGGAAUUAACAGAGAGGGACGUAAAAGUAGCCA